UCCUCGGUAGUAUAGUGGUGAGUAUCCCCGCAUGUCACGCUGGAGACCGGGGUUCACUUCCCCGCCGUGGAG
rnacentral:tRNA from 1 species